AUUGAACGCUGGCGGCAGGCCUAACACAUGCAAGUCGAGCGAGCGGCGGACGGGUGAGUAAUGUGUGGGAAACUGCCUGAUGGAGGGGGAUAACUACUGGAAAAGGUAGCUAAUACCGCAUAUCACCAGAUGUGCCCAGAUGGGAUUAGCUAGUGGGUGUGGUAAUGGCUCACCUAGGCGACGAUCCCUAGCUGGUCUGAGAGGAUGACAAGCCACCACGGAACGUGGACACGGUCCAGACUCCUACGGGAGGCAGCAGUGGGGAAUAUUUGACAAUGGGCGCAAGCCUGAUGCAGCCAUGCCGCAUGUGUGAAGAAGGCCUUCGGGUUGUAAAGCACUUUCAGCGGGGAGGCGUUACCCGCAGAAGAAGCACCGGCUAACUCCGUGCCAGCAGCCGCGGUAAUUC
rnacentral:rRNA from 1 species